rfam:Lasallia pustulata genome assembly, contig: scaffold27345_size920
AAGAGUAUAGUUUAAUCGGGAAAAUAAGAAGCUUCAAACUCCAAGUUUUCAGUUCAAGUCUGAAUGCUCUUG